UACGGAGGAUGCAAGCGUUAUCCGGAAUGAUUGGGCGUAAAGCGUCCGCAGGUGGCAGUUCAAGUCUGCUGUCAAAGACCGGGGCUUAACUUCGGAAAGGCAGUGGAAACUGAACAGCUAGAGUAUGGUAGGGGCAGAGGGAAUUCCUGGUGUAGCGGUGAAAUGCGUAGAGAUCAGGAAGAACAUCGGUGGCGAAGGCGCUCUGCUGGACCAUAACUGACACUCAGGGACGGAAGCUAGGGGAACGAAUGGG
rnacentral:rRNA from 1 species